rnacentral:rRNA from 1 species
ACGGCUCAGUAACACGUCGAUAAUCUGCCCAUAAGUCUGGAAUAACCUCGGGAAACUGAGGCUAAGACCGGAUAGGAAAACAUUCCUGGAACGCAAGUUUUCUGAAAGGUAACGCUUAUGGAUGAGUCGGCGGCGGAUUAGGCUGUUGGUGAGGUAACGGCUCACCAAACCGAAGAUCCGUAGAGGCUCUGAGAGGAGUAGCCUCGAGAAGGGCACUGAGACACUGGCCCUAGCCCUACGGGGUGCAGCAGGCGCGAAACCUUUACACUGCACGAAAGUGUGAUAAGGGAAUCCAAAGUGCCUAUACUCUGUAUAGGCUUUUGCCAAGAGUAAAUAUCUUGGCGAAUAAGUGGUGGGAAAGACUGGUGCCAGCCGCCGCGGUAACACCAGCGCCACGAGUGGGGAUCCUUUUUAUUUGGCCUAAAGCGUCCGUAGCUGGUUGAGUAAAUCUCUUGUGAAAUUGUUCUGCUCAACAGAACAGCGUGCAGGAGAGACUGCUUAGCUAGGGACCGGGAGGAGUUAGAGGUAUGCUGGGGGGAGCGGUAAAAUGCUAUAAUCCUCGGUAGACCACCUGUGGCGAAGGCGUCUAACUAGAACGGGUCCGACAGUGAGGGACGAAAGCCAGGGGAGCAAACCGGAUUAGAUACCCGAGUAGUCCUGGCUGUAAACGCUGCGAGCUAGGUGUUGCACAUUUUUCGAGAAUGUGCAGUGUCGAAGCGAAGGCGCUAAGCUCGCCGCCUGGGAAGUAUGGUCGCAAGACUGAAACUUAAAGGAAUUGGCGGGGGAG